CCAACCGUCCGAGCUUCCAUAAUACCAUCCGGACUUCUCCAAUCAUGAACUUCUCUAUUCAUCUAUCGGACUGCUCCAAACGCUCUCUGAACUUCACUUUCAGCCGAUUCUCUACAGUGGUCGACUAUUCUCCGAAUCUCUUCCAGACUUCUCCCAGCCACGAUCGAUUUUACUCCAAAUUUCCUUCGGACUUCAUCAAUGACCGAGCUUCUUCAGCAGCAGGACUUCUACAGUAACCAGACUCCAUCCA
rnacentral:lncRNA from 1 species